GUGGAAUUCCAACAAGCUGACCACAUAGUGGAAAAGAACGCAUAGCAACUUACUCCAACAACUCGUAGUUUAGCACAGAAUGGACCCUAAAAAAAGACAUUAGAAGACCAGAUGAUACUAGUCACUUAGGAGGAAAACAACAAGUAGAGAAAUGACUCAGAGGGUAGUAGUACUUGGAGCAUGAGUUAUCCAGGUAUAUGUAUUUCCCUGGUUAGUUGGAAUCCCACUCCUAAUGGUGGGAUGGGAUUUCAUGGAAAAGGGUAAAAUUCCUGACAAGCAUUUCUGCUUUGAAUUCUGUGAUCUUUGGCCAGAACUCUUCUGUUAUGAGUGUCCUAUCCAGAACAGUUUGGAAUGUGAUAUUCUUCUUCCAUACAAUAUUUUGGCUCAUCAAAGGGUGCAUUCAGACAGCAAGUUGUCAUUUGAUCAUGCAUUUUACCAAUGA
rnacentral:lncRNA from 1 species